AAGUCGUAACAAGGUCUCCGUAGGUGAACCUGCGGAGGGAUCAUUAACACGUUUCACAACGUUUAAACUUUUCACAUCAACCGCGCGAUAUAAUUGAAUCAAAAACAACCGACCAGGAGAUCAGAGAAUUCUAUUUAGAAUGCACGGAGUGAUGAGUGUAUAUAUGAGCUUGCUUGUAUCUACACGGUGUAUCUAGAUUGGUAUUGCUAUCUUCACUGUAUGCGCAAGUGUGCAGUGAGGCCAGACUCUACAAGACCUCUUUUCUCCAGGCUUUUAACCAUAGUUCCCUUCAUCGCUGGAGCGCAAACACCCCUUUCACCACUUAUAACCACUUGACUGAUAUGUUCUCAGCAUGGCGAAAGCCGCGUAUGAAACAACAACUAAUCAAAUAUCUAAGCACAACUCUUAGCAACGGAUAUCUUGGUUCUC
rnacentral:misc_RNA from 1 species